rnacentral:rRNA from 1 species
CCCUUAGAUGUCCUGGGCCGCACGCGCGCUACACUGACAUGUUCAACAAGCCUCCUAGUUCGACAGGAUUUGGGAAAUCUUUGAACGCAUGUCGUGAUAGGGAUAGAUCAUUGCAAUUAUUGAUCUUGAACGAGGAAUUCCUAGUAAACGCGAGUCAUCAGCUCGCAUUGAUUACGUCCCUGCCCUUUGUACACACCGCCCGUCGCACCUACCGAUUGAAUGUUUCGGUGAAGAUUCCGGAUAGGACUUUUUUGAUUUAUUUCAAUUUUGUCUUAAAAGCUAUCUAAACCUCAACACUUAGAGGAAGGUGAAGUCGUAACA